CCUACGGGUGGCAGCAGUGGGGGAUAUUGCACAAUGGGGGCAACCCUGAUGCAGCGAAGCAGCGUGGGGGAAGAAGUCUCUAGGUAUGUAAAGCUCUAUUAGCAGGGAAGUAGAAAUGACGGUACGUGAGUAAGAAGCACCGGCUAAAUAAGUGCCAGCAGCCGCGGUAAUACGGAUGGUGCAAGCGUUAUCCGGAUUUACUGGGUGUAAAGGGAGCGCAGGGGGCACGGCAAGCCUGUUGUGAAAGGUAGCGGCCCAACCGUGGUACUGCAAUUGGUACUGCCAGCCUUGAGUGCCGUGGAGGUAGGCGGAAUUCCUAGUGUAGCGGUGAAAUGCGUAGAUAUUAGGAGGAACUCCAAUUGCGAAGGCAGCCUACUAAACUGUCACUGACACUGAGGCUCGAAAGCGUGGGGAUCAAACAGGAUUAGAUACCCUGGUAGUC
rnacentral:rRNA from 1 species